GAGAGUUAAAGCUAACUUGCUUGGUGACCAGCACAGGGCUUGCCAAGCUCACAGCUCACAGCAUUUCCCUCUCGAAGGCACCCAGAUGCAGCAUCGUACUGGCCGAGAACAAUGGCAGACCUGGGGACUGUGUCAUCGUGGGCUGCUGGCUCUGCCCUGUUGAUUGAGCUUGACAAGGCUUCCCGCUCCAGCAACUGACCAGUGCCAGCAAACAGCUGGCGUGUCCAGUCUUUGUUUUCAGACCUUUUAAUUGGGUUGCACGAUUCUUGGAGUAAAUGGAAUCAAGUUGUUUAACUUAUUAAUCAAACAUCAGAGUUAUUAAAGGGACAGUUGCAUGCCCCA
rnacentral:lncRNA from 1 species